GUGACCAGCGGAGGGANCAUUACCGAGUUUACAACUCCCAAACCCCUGUGAACAUACCACUUGUUGCCUCGGCGGAUCAGCCCGCUCCCGGUAAAACGGGACGGCCCGCCAGAGGACCCCUAAACUCUGUUUCUAUAUGUAACUUCUGAGUAAAACCAUAAAUAAAUCAAAACUUUCAACAACGGAUCUCUUGGUUCUGGCAUCGAUGAAGAACGCAGCAAAAUGCGAUAAGUAAUGUGAAUUGCAGAAUUCAGUGAAUCAUCGAAUCUUUGAACGCACAUUGCGCCCGCCAGUAUUCUGGCGGGCAUGCCUGUUCGAGCGUCAUUUCAACCCUCAAGCACAGCUUGGUGUUGGGACUCGCGUUAAUUCGCGUUCCCCAAAUUGAUUGGCGGUCACGUCGAGCUUCCAUAGCGUAGUAGUAAAACCCUCGUUACUGGUAAUCGUCGCGGCCACGCCGUUAAACCCCAACUUCUGAAUGUUGACCUCGGAUCAGGUAGGAAUACCCGCUGAACUUAAGCAUA
rnacentral:rRNA from 1 species